AGCGGAGGAAAAGAACCUAACCAGGAUUCCCCUAGUAACUGCGAGUGAAGCGGGAAAAGCUCAAAUUUAAAAUCUGACAGUCUUUGAUUGUCCGAGUUGUAAUCUAGAGAAGUGUUAUCCGCGCUGGACCGUGUACAAGUCUCCUGGAAUGGAGCGUCAUAGAGGGUGAGAAUCCCGUCUUUGACACGGACUGCCAGGGCUUUUGUGAUGCGCUCUCGAAGAGUCGAGUUGUUUGGGAAUGCAGCUCAAAAUGGGUGGUAAAUUCCAUCUAAAGCUAAAUAUUGGCGAGAGACCGAUAGCGAACAAGUACCGUGAGGGAAAGAUGAAAAGAACUUUGGAAAGAGAGUUAAACAGUACGUGAAAUUGCUGAAAGGGAAACGCUUGAAGUCAGUCAUGUCGUCCAGGGAUCAACCUUGCUUUUGCUUGGUGUACUUUCUGGUUGAUGGGUCAGCAUCAAUUUUUAUCAUUGGAAAAAAAUCAGGGAAAUGUGACAUCUUCGGAUGUGUUAUAGUCUUUGGUUGCAUACAAUGGUUGGGAUUGAGGAACUCAGCACGCCGAAAGGCCGGGUUUUUAUAACCACGUACGUGCUUAGGAUGCUGGCAUAAUGGCUUUAAUCGACCCGUCUUGAAACACGGACCAAGGAGUCUAACAUGCCUGCGAGUGUUUGGGUGGAAAACCCGAGCGCGUAAUGAAAGUGAAAGUUGAGAUCCCUGUCGUGGGGAGCAUCGACGCCCGGACCAGACCUUUUGUGACGGUUCCGCGGUAGAGCAUGUAUGUUGGGACCCGAAAGAUGGUGAACUAUGCCUGAAUAGGGUGAAGCCAGAGGAAACUCUGGUGGAGGCUCGUAGCGAUUCUGACGUGCAAAUCGAUCGUCAAAUUUGGGUAUAGGGGCGAAAGACUAAUCGAACCAUCUAGUAGCUG
rnacentral:rRNA from 1 species